AGACACAGAAAUUAUCGCGAGAGUACACUGUUUGCAAACAAGCGCAGUGAUUAGGGUAUCGCGAGACUUUCACAGUAUGAAGGUUACCAUCCUUGGUGGUUACCAUUUUGCUGCGAUCCUGCUCACUGAUCUAAAAUAAUGGGGAGCGUUGAAACCUUUGAGUGUCUUGAAGAUUUCAAUGCAUGUCUUCAGCAGUAUGAGGAAAACACGAACACAAAGUUUAUCGUUUUGAAGAGCGAUCGUGCAUUUGGGAAAAGUGAUCUGACAGUGGAAAAACAGCUGCAGUGGGAAGUGAAGAUUGUACCAUUCAGUGGUGUGCCUUUUAAGAUUAUUGGGAAAAAGACAUACGUAUGUCACCAAGGAAGAGACAAGCACGCCAAAGCCAAACAAAGACGUCAGGAGAGUAAAGAGCAAGGUCAUGAAUAUUCAUGCCUUAAAACAAGACGCUUGAUGCAACCAACUAAAAAAAUGGGUUGUCCUGCGACCAUAAAUGUGAUUCAUAUUGUGAGGUUUCCUGAGUAUAAGAUAACUGAAGAUAACGCGUACCAGAAACGAGAAAAGUCAUCAGCUGUUAGAGAAGCACUAAGACUAGAUCCAAAGCGUGUGUGCACAGAAGAAAUGUUUGCAGCCAGUUUCCCAGAUAUUAAGGAGCAUCAGAACCACCCCAUUGAUGGAAAGGAAUCAAGAGACAUUUGGAACAUCAUAAAAAAGGUCAAGGCAGGAAACUGGAAGUCCAGUGUAGACCAUCAUAAUCUACAGGCCUUGGUAAACACAUGGAAGGAAGAGGGCUGUGCCACUGAGUACAGACCCUCUCAGGAGGAGGAGGAUGGUACUGUGGUGAAGAUGUUGCUGUGCUUGCAGACGCCAUGGCAGAGGAGGCUUAUGUUACUGUAUGGACAGCAUGUGUGCUUACUGGAUGAAACCUAUCGAGCGGGCAGAAAUUCACUGCCGCUUUUCUUUCUGUGGGUGAGGACAAAUGUCACCUAUGCUGCUGUUGGAGUGUUUGUCACCCAGACAGAGACUAAAGAAGACAUUGCAGAAGCCUUGAAGGUGUUUCAGAAGUGGAAUUCAGACUGGAAUCCAUCACACUUCCUGGUGGACUUCUGUGAGGCGGAAAUCAGUGCUCUUGUGGAGGUGUUUAAAGGUUCUAAAGUGCUCCUCUGUGAUUUUCACAGAGAAAAGGCAUGGAUGGAGUGGACAAGGAAAAAGGAAAAUGGUGUGACAUGUCAGGAAAAGGUUCUUAUUCUUCUACGGGCUAUUGCAGAUUCUCAGACCAAUGAGGACUUUGAGAACAGCACUGUUACCCUUCAACAACAUCCAGACUGGCAGUCAAACGAGAAACUGAGAAGGUUUCUCAGUAAAUGGCUUUGUCAUGCAGAGAGAUGGGUAAAUGUGUUCAGAAAUAAAAACCUGAAUGUGGCCAUCUUCACAAAUAAAGGUGUUGAAAGACAAAAGGAUGUCCUGAAGCAUUCAUACCUUAAAGGUCACAGAAACUGCAGCCUGAGCGAAACGCUAAUAGUCAUUAUGAGAGACUUCCUGCCGAAUUCCUAUCAAAAAUACGUUGAAUUAAAUAUCAAAUGCUCAAGUGUCUCACGCAAAUACAGCGGAAAUGUGCCUUGUUUUCUAAGAGAUAGACCAAGAAUUAUGGCUCAGCACAUCAUGAAAAGGCACCAAGAGUCACUGCUCUUUAAUGCAAGAGACAUAACGUCUGCUGGGGAGAAUGUCUUCAGUGUUCACAGUCAGACUUCACAGGAAGAACAUCUGGUGAACUUUGGUAAAGGCGACGAGAUGCCUUCAUGUACUUGCAUGGACUGGCGGAGACAUCUUCUCCCAUGCCAGCAUUUCUGUGCUGUUUUUACCUUAGUUCCUGGAUGGAGUUGGGAGAAUUUGAGCACUGCGUACAGGAACAACCCUCUCUUCACAUUUGACGAGGUUUGCCUGGGACACUCUAGGACAGUUCCUCUGAAUUCUGCUGAUCUUCAAGUUGAAGAGCUUCUGAAGAAGAAUCAGGAGAACAAUAAUAGUCCAGAGGGAGACAGCUGCAUUUCCAGUCCAGAGAGAAGUCCAUCUCCUGCUGCUCCCUCAGAGACCAUCCUGAUCACCCCUAGUGUUAAAGCAGAAAAAAGGGAGAAAUGCGGUACCUUGUUAAAGGAGAUAUCUGAUUUGACAUGCCACAUACAGGAUGGGACAUUUCUAGAUUCAGUAACUGAUCGCCUUACAGAACUUUUAGAAGAUUUGAGGCGACACAUUCCCCAUGAUGACAUCCUUGACCUUUCCUACACACCACCAUCCAAGAAAAUGUGUUCAUCAGCCACUUAAUCAGCCACAAUCCCAAAAAGAUGCCUUGUAUCUGGCAUAGUUAGUGAUGCAGACAACCACCACAAGUGACUUUUAAGAAAAGUUCACCUGUGGUCAAUGCAGCUCUAUAAGAAGACCUCCACACACUUCUAAGGAACACUGAAGUUCAAAUUCUCAAAGCUUCUUCUUCAGGCUGGUUAGAGAUCAUCUGCGAAGAUGCUCCGAAACGU